rnacentral:rRNA from 1 species
CUUUCCCUCUGGCGGCAGGCCUAACACAUGCAAGUCGAGCGGAUGAAGGGAGCUUGCUCCUGGAUUCAGCGGCGGACGGGUGAGUAAUGCCUAGGAAUCUGCCUGGUCGUGGGGGAUAACGUCCGGAAACGGGCGCUAAUACCGCAUACGUCCUGAGGGAGAAAGUGGGGGAUCUUCGGACAUCACGCUUUAAGAUGAGCCUAGGUCGGAUUAGCUAGUUGGUGGGGUAAAGGCGUACCAAGGCGACGAUCCGUAACUGGUCUGAGAGGAUGAUCUGUCACACUGGAGCUGAGACACGGUCCAGACUCCUACGGGAGGCAGCAGUGGGGAAUAUUGGACAAUGGGCGAAAGCCUGAUCCAGCCAUGCCGCGUGUGUGAUGAAGGUCUUCGGAUUGUAAAGCUCUGUAAGUUGGGAGGAAGGUCAGUAAGUUAAUACCUUGCUGUUUUGACGGUACCAACAGAAUAAGCACCGGCUAACUUCGUG